rnacentral:rRNA from 1 species
UACGUAGGGUGCAAGCGUUAAUCGGAAUUAUUGGGCGUAAAGAGCUCGUAGGCGGUUUGUCGCGUCGAAUGUGAAAACCCGGGGCUCAACCCCGGGCCUGCAUUCGAUACGGGCAGACUAGAGUUCGGUAGGGGAGUCUGGAAUUCCUGGUGUAGCGGUGAAAUGCGCAGAUAUCAGGAGGAACACCGGUGGCGAAGGCGGGACUCUGGGCCGAUACUGACGCUGAGGAGCGAAAGCGUGGGGAGCAAACAGG